UACUGGAUAACCAAUUGGUAUGCUCUUCCC
rnacentral:piRNA from 1 species